GUUCUGGAAGAUGAGCGCUGGAGGCAGUGUUUCAAGGCAGAACAGCUUGGACAAGAGACCUAAGAUGGGAAUGAACUUAAACAACAGAAAGUAAACCAGUGCACCUAAGCAAAGAAAAGGGCGCUGGAGGAAGCGGUUAUUAAGAACCAUCCCUGGGAAUGUGGCAGAGACCCACUGAGAAACAGAGCUUGCCUUCAGAUGCCUCAGCCAGAACCAGCUGAACUGAAAUGCACAAAAGGUACCUCAAGCUCAAGCUUCUGCCUCUUUUAAAAGGGCUGUGGGAGCUGUCUUCUCUACCUUUCCCAUCAUCCUUAUCUUUUUCUAGGAAAAAAAGAAGAGAAAAAUUCUUAAACUCAUUCCCCUAUUCUCCUCCCCUGCUAUGGAUACAACCAUUUAGAAUUUGGCCUUGUCUCCACUGAGCACACGACUUGCUAUCUUCUCAGAAUGGCCCCUAUUUGAUCAGGACCCCAAAUUCCUUUCAGUUUCUUUAGUUCAGUGAAAGUUAUCCCUCAAAACAAAAGCAAAAGCAAAAUCCUCCCUGCCCCCAUUCCCCAGAACUGUGAAAGUCCCACAUCCCACUCCCCCCUCCUCUAACUAAAAUAUUUAUAUACAUACAAGGAAAAUUGUCUUAACAGCAACAAAACAAACUUUGGCUUGGGGGGGGCCUUAAAAACGGCCAGUGGACUGGGCAGUUUUGUGUCCCCUUAUUCUACGUAUUCCUCCCCAGAAUUAAUAAUAAUUGCAUCGAGGCCUCUAGCUUCCUUGAUGUCUCCCCUAGUUUCAGGCACAGCCUCUCCCCCAGUUAUUAGGGGAAAGGAUUCUAAAGGGGGAGAAGAUAUGUAUUAUAUAUGACAGGCCAGUGCCCUCCCAAGAUAUAUCACUCUGCUUGCAAAGAAUGCUUGAUGCUGUCAUAUGUCAGUCAUUUUAAUUCAGGGACAUGAAUCAGUUACCAGUCAAGAACAUGUGUGGAGGCAGGAGUUAAAAAAACAAACCAAAAACAAAGCCAUAACAAACCAGAAGCUCCAUGUCUCUGAAUUACUCCCUUUAGCAGCUAUCCCUUGGGUGAAAGGUCACCCUAGUACCAAUGUGAACAGACCAGGGAGCCAAAAAGACCGUGCUUUCCUAUAUCCUAAUGCCUUCAUUUUGGAAAUGCUGUAGGACACUUGCUUUUAUCAGUUAUAUCUAAUAGCUAGAAGAGAAAUACUUUUUCCCCUACUUUGAUAACAUAUAAAAUUAAAGCCAGAUAGCGAUAGCAGUGACUCACUGCUGUGGCCACUGCAUGACUCUUUCUGGCAAUAUAUUAUUAAGAUCCUUGCCAUUUCAGACCCUCCUUCCAAUAUGGGAGGGGAGCAACCUCAGGGGCUCCGUAGUUUAUGUCCUGUAGUGUUAAUGUAUACCAAGUGGUCCAGGUGCUCAGCUGGGUGUCUCUGGAGGAUAACAAGAAGCUGGGUGCAAUGGCCACAAGGGCUCAAGACUGUGGACAGAGAAGUGACUCAUAAAGGCUCUGGAAGAUGAAAAUUCCUAUGGCUUUGGAGCGAGUACAAAGUGCCUCUGCCUGCCCUUAUAUGUCCUGAUCACCAAAACUUCCAGGGACAGCUGACCUAGGGCCUGGUGAUUUAUCUUUCCCCACUGGAUUCUUUAUUAUAUUUUUUAUACUUUGUUUGUACUUUCUGAUGAAAGAAAAAGAUAAGGAAUAUCAGAUCUUCUAAUAUUCCUUUUCUUUUCCUUACUCUCUUUAAUGGCUGUCAGCAAUUUGUACUUCUAAUCCUCAACCUGUGUCCAGAUACCUGGCCACUGGCUUAUUCUUCUGUCCCUGGGUCCUAAAUUCCUGAAUCUUGAGGACAUGGGAGCAGGGUGUUAAUAAAAGAAUAGAUGAGCUAAGCUGAGGUUCAAUUAAAGGGGAAGAAGCCCAGCAGGAAUGCUAGGAUUAAAGAAAAGAAAUGAUCUUUUUCAUACUCCAGAGUUCAUUCUGAGAUCGGUUUCCUAAUGAGGUGUUUAUUAUCCACAGUCUGAGAGCAUGUUUGGAAAUAUCAAUACUAUAAUUCCAAAAACUAUGCCAAGUGUCUCAGGCUGUGCGUGUAAGAUGAUUGUAAAAAGAAUGGAGAAGACAGGAGGGAAGAAGAGAGGAAAGGGUCUUUUUAAUUCUCCUGCUUUACAAGCACAAAUUCCUAUCUAUCAGCAUGUGGAUUCCAGCCACAGCCAAUCAGAAUUGCCUGCCAAAGACCAGAAACUCAGAAGACUAGAAGAAUAUCCUGCUCCAGGAAGAUCUCUCCCACUUCUGCUUACCCCCAGCAAUUCAGCACCAGAUACACUUUGGUAAUUCUGUCUGCUGAUUUCUGAUCAGAUGCACUUAUCAGCUCCUAAUGUCUCUCCUUCCUCCUUAACUGCCUCUUCCGUGAUAGAAUAAGCUAAGCACGGACAUACAGACAUGGAAAUGCAUUAUUAUUUUUUUUUUUUACCACAGUUAAAAAAAAGAAAAAAAAAGAAAAGAAAAAAAUGCACAAUCUUUGGAACAAAAGAAUUAAAGGCAGAAAUUUAAAGGAAAAAUACAUAUUCAAAGAACAUAGUGAGGUUUACAUUAGAACAGGACUUUGGUGAGCAUGUGAUGUCAAGACACCUUCUUUCUACCUGGAAGACAAUGACAUUAUGUGACACUGAGGAGGAAAGUGUAUUUCAAGACCAGCAGACAAAAUGAAAGCUUGUUACCUACAUGUAGUGUAUUGAUCAAUAGAGCAAGACAUCAUUUGACCUUCAUAAAACCCAAAGAGGAAAGUAAGACAGGCACCACAUCUGCAGCUUUGGGGUAAUAGAGGAAGAAGGCCUUGUUGAUUCUUUGGGAUCCUCUAAUAUGAAACAUAGAGUAUUUUCAAUCUGCGAUGCGGAACCCAUGGAUGUGGAACCUGCAGACGUGCAGAGCUGGCUGUACCACCACAGGAAUUGACUCCCAUCACACGGGAACCCUUUCAUCGUCCAUUACCUCAACCAUAGCAGUCUCAGAGCUUUAACUAUCACCUACCUACGGGUGACUUUCAAAUAGUUUUUAGGUCCAACUACAUGUUUUCUCCCAAGCUUUCAUGGGAGGUAGAGUAAAACAGAAGAAAGAGCAUGAACCUAAAAAGCAGACCUGAGUUUAAAUCCCAGAUGUGGAUGAAUUACUUAACUACCCUGUUUCUCCUCUGCAAAAAGAACAACCCUUCAGAGGGUUGUUGUGAAAACUGACAGAAAGUGAAAUUGACUAUUUUGUUGUUUCUUUAGCAUAUUCUCUGUUCCUAUUGAAUUUUUCCGAAUAUUAGAAUCAAUUAUAUAUUAACAUUUAACCAUCUACAACAUGUUAGUCUUUAACAGGGGGAGAGGCAUGAGGGCAAAAAUAAAAUUCUUACCUUUGUAGGACAAAUUUAGAAGGCAAGAAAGGCAUGUAAACUAAUCCAUGUUAUUGGUGCUAAAAAGAAAGCUCUUCAUAAAAUACUAUAAGAGAACCGAAAGAAUGGUCCCAAAUAUAAUUGUCUUCAUUUUUCUAGGAUAAUUAAACUCUGCGUAAUCUUAGAGAGAGAAGGGUGUAUUUUUGUUUACAUCUUCUCUUUUAUUUUUCAACUUCACUCUAGUUUUUUGUUUGGUAAUCUUGAGUCCCACUUAUAUACACAAUCUGCUAUUGUAUUGCUUCUAAUCAACGGGCUAUAAUCCUAGAAGUUUUCCAAUUUCCGUUUACAUAUACAGUCAGAAUGGAUCAUGAAUUCAAACAGAUCAAUAUUAAUUUUAUUCACACCCUCAUAAAAAGAAUCAUUUCAUUAUUUAGGUAGAGCAUAUUUUCACCAGUUUAUCACCACUGACAUCACUAAUCAUUUUUCUAGUACUGUAUACAAAUGGAAAUUAAUUCUCUAGAAUUAUAAUAGAAAAAUAUUUUUGCUUUUAAGUAUUUUACAAAUUAUACCCUUUCUCCCCCUGGGAUUUGCUUAAAUAGGCUGAGAUUUCAAGCUCUACCUGCCUUUGUUUUAAACAAAAACACAAACAAACAAACCCCAGUACCUAAGAAAAGGCCUGCCAUUCUUCUCAAAUCUGGUACUAAAAGAAAUGACUUCUGCCCAAACAUCUGUGACAAGAGGGAAAAAAAUAGCUACAGAACUCUUAUCUCAGAAAGACUAGAAGAGAAUACUGGAUUUAAAAUUAUCUAGGAUCAAUUUAAAAAAAUUAACUCUGUAGAAGAACAACAAACUAAGAAAUUCCAGAAGAAUAAAAUAGGUCAAGUCCACAGUCGACCGGGGACUGAAUUAUAAACUUCAUCACCAAAUGAAGUGAUAAUGAGCACACAGUAGUAGCACUUUAGAAAAUGCUUACUAAAUAGAAUCAAUCAGGUAUAAGUCUAUAAAAAAGAUAGGAGCACUUUUCUCAAUAGCUUAUCAACUCUGCAGGAAGCGUUCCAUAAUAUAAAUAAUCAUUCAUAAAUAUUUAUCUCAUAAAAUGAGUUAUGACAGUUCUAUUAAAAUAUAUAUAAUAAUUGA